rnacentral:rRNA from 1 species
CACUUCGGUGUCAGCGGCAGACGGGUGAGUAACACGUGGGAACGUGCCCUUCGGUUCGGAAUAACUCAGGGAAACUUGAGCUAAUACCGGAUACGCCCUUUUGGGGAAAGGUUUACUGCCGAAGGAUCGGCCCGCGUCUGAUUAGCUCGUUGGUGGGGUAACGGCCUACCAAGGCGACGAUCAGUAGCUGGUCUGAGAGGAUGAUCAGCCACACUGGGACUGAGACACGGCCCAGACUCCUACGGGAGGCAGCAGUGGGGAAUAUUGGACAAUGGGCGCAAGCCUGAUCCAGCCAUGCCGCGUGAGUGAUGAAGGCCUUAGGGUUGUAAAGCUCUUUUGUCCGGGACGA